rnacentral:tRNA from 1 species
UUAGGUGAAGCCAAAUUAGAGGCUUAUCACUGUUAAUGAUAGAAUUGAGUUUACUCUCCACCUAAA